rnacentral:tRNA from 1 species
GGAGAGAUGGCAGAGUGGUUUAUUGCGUCGGUCUUGAAAACCGAAGUGCUGGCAACGGCACCGUGGGUUCGAAUCCCUCUCUCUCCGCCA